rnacentral:rRNA from 1 species
ACCUCCUACGGGAGGCAGCAGGUGGGGAAGUAUUGCACAAUGGGCGCAAGCCUGAUGCAGCCAUGCCGCGUGUGUGAAGAAGGCCUUCGGGUUGUAAAGCACUUUCAGUCGUGAGGAAGGUAGUGUAGUUAAUAGCUGUAUUAUUUGACGUUAGCGACAGAAGAAGCACCGGCUAACUCCGUGCCAGCAGCCGCGGUAAUACGGAGGGUGCGAGCGUUAAUCGGAAUUACUGGGCGUAAAGCGCAUGCAGGUGGUUUGUUAAGUCAGAUGUGAAAGCCCGGGGCUCAACCUCGGAAUUUGCAUUUUGAAAACUGGCAGACUAGAGUACUGUAGAGGGGGGGUAGAAUUUCAGGUGUAGCGGUGAAAUGCGUAGAGAUCUGAAGGAAUACCGGUGG